rnacentral:rRNA from 1 species
AGCUCGAUGAGUAGGGCGGGACACGUGGUAUCCUGUCUGAAUAUGGGGGGACCAUCCUCCAAGGCUAAAUACUCCUGACUGACCGAUAGUGAACCAGUACCGUGAGGGAAAGGCGAAAAGAACCCCGGCGAGGGGAGUGAAAAAGAACCUGAAACCGUGUACGUACAAGCAGUGGGAGCACAGGUUUACCUGUGUGACUGCGUACCUUUUGUAUAAUGGGGCAGCGACUUAUAUUCUGUAGCAAGGUUAACCGAAUAGGGGAGCCGGAGGGAAACCGAGUCUUAAUUGGGCGUUAAGUUGCAGGGUAUAGACCCGAAACCCGGUGAUCUAGCCAUGGGCAGGUUGAAGGUUGGGUAACACUAACUGGAGGACCGAACCGACUAAUGUUGAAAAAUUAGCGGAUGACCUGUGGCUGGGGGUGAAAGGCCAAUCAAACCGGGA